CGAGACGUUUAAAUGCACAUACAGAUGACUUAAGAUGGAAAACUUAAAUCUCGAAGAUGGAAGCAAUAUUGCCAAACGUUUCGCAGGAUGUGAUUUUUUUUUUUUUUUAAUGGUCCAAAGAGAAAGACAGGAUAACAAAGAUAUUCCUUGACGUGAUUGGGAAAAAGGAAGAAGAAAUAGGUUGUCCCGUUCCAAUGUUUUUAGCAGCGAUCCAUUUUUCCUCCAUGCAACAGAUUGCAGGUGACGGUGAUAGUAGCGGAGAUGAUGGUAGAAUCUCCUUUUCCUUAAAUUUUACACUAAGCUUAAAAUGUUCUUCGUUUACAAAGGUGCCAUCAGUUUUAAAACCUCCAUAAAUAUCAUGGAAGGUAGAAUUCUAACAUCAAGGAACCUAUUCAAAAACUUUAGGGUUCUUUAAAGACUAGAACAAUACAACAUUCCUUGGGGUUGGCAUGGUGGCGCAGUGGUUAGAAUGCAGUACUGCAGGUUAUUUCUGCUGCCUGCCGGCUGCCUGCAGUCCAGCAGUUUGAGCCUCACCAGCUCAAGUUAACUCAGCCUUCCAUCCUUCUGAGAAAUCCUGAUGUGUCUGCAGCAGCAUUUGUUAAAACAGGCACCCGUUGUGUUUUGCUGGGCUAAGGAUUGCAUAAGGCUUUGGAACAGGGUGUUAUACCCUCAGAAGUGGUACGUCCAAAACGAAACAGAGUUCAUGCAUGUAUCGAUACGGGCACUCCUCGGCUUAUGACCACAAUUGUACCGUCUCCUGAUAGCAUGGCAGCUCUUUAAAGUCUUCCCAUAAACAGCAAACCCGCUCAA